rnacentral:rRNA from 1 species
AUUGAACGCUGGCGGAAUGCUUUACACAUGCAAGUCGAACGGCAGCACGGGUGCUUGCUCCUGGUGGCGAGUGGCGAACGGGUGAGUAAUACAUCGGAACGUACCCAGUUGUGGGGGAUAACUAACCGAAAGGUUAGCUAAUACCGCAUACGACCUGAGGGUGAAAGCGGGGGACGGUAAGGCCUCGCGCAAUUGGAGCGGCCGAUGUCUGCUUAGCUAGUUGGUAGGGUAAAGGCCUACCAAGGCGACGAUCAGUAGCUGGUCUGAGAGGAUGAUCAGCCACACUGGAACUGAGACACGGUCCAGACUCCUACGGGAGGCAGCAGUGGGGAAUUUUGGACAAUGGGCGAAAGCCUGAUCCAGCCAUUCCGCGUGAGUGAAGAAGGCCUUCGGGUUGUAAAGCUCUUUCGGCAGGGAAGAAACGGCCUAGGUUAAUACCUUGGGCUAAUGACGGUACCUGAAGAAGAAGCACCGGCUAACUACGUGCCAGCCGCCGCCGUAA